GUGCCAGCCGCCGCGGUAAUACAGAGACGGCAAGCGUUGUUCGGAUUUAUUGGGCGUAAAGGGUCCGCAGGUGGCGAGGUAAGUCUGACGUGAAAUCCCGCGGCUUAACCGCGGAACUGCGUCGGAAACUACCUUGCUAGAGGACGGCAGAGGAGACUGGAAUUCACGGUGUAGCGGUGAAAUGCGUAGAUAUCGUGAGGAACACCGGUGGCGAAGGCGAGUCUCUGGGCCGUUCCUGACACUCAGGGACAAAAGCGUGGGGAGCAAACGGGAUUAGAUACCCCGGUAGUCCACGCCCUAAACUGUGCUCACUUGGUGUGGGAGGAUUCGACCCCUUCCGUGCCGUAGCUAACGCGUUAAGUGAGCCGCCUGGGGAGUACGGCCGCAAGGUUAAAACUCAAAGAAAUUGACGGGGGCCCGCACAAGCGGUGGAGUAUGUGGCUCAAUUCGAUGCAACGCGAAGAACCUUACCUGGGUUUGACAUGCACCGUGAAAGCCGGUGAAAGCCGGUGACGGCCCGAAAGGGUGCUGGGGGUGCACAGGUGCUGCAUGGCUGUCGUCAGCUCGUGCCGUGAGGUGUUCGGUUAAGUCCGGUAACGAGCGCAACCCCUAUGUCCUGUUGCGAAGGCCGCAAGGCACUGCACUCUGGACAGACUGCCCUGUUUCAACGGGGAGGAAGGUGGGGAUGACGUCAAGUCCGUAUGGCCCUUACACCCAGGGCUGCACACGUACUACAAUGCACGGUACAGAGGGACGCAAAACCGCGAGGUGGAGCAAAUCCCCAAAACCGUGCUCAGUUCAGAUCGCAGGCUGCAACUCGCCUGCGUGAAGCUGGAAUCGCUAGUAAUGGCGCAUCAGCUACGGCGCCGUGAAUACGUUCCCGGGCCUUGUACACACCGCCCGUCACAUCAUGAAAGCCCCUUGUUCCCGAAGUCAUACCAGCUAACCGCAAGGAAGCGGGUGCCUAAGGAAUGAGUGGUGAUUGGGAUGAAGUCGUAACAAGGUAGCC
rnacentral:rRNA from 1 species